rnacentral:rRNA from 1 species
AUUGAACGCUGGCGGCAGGCCUAACACAUGCAAGUCGAACGAGUGGCGGACGGGUGAGUAAUGUCUGGGAAAAUGCCCGAUGGAGGGGGAUAACUACUGGAAACGGUAGCUAAUAACGCGUACCAUAGGAUGUGCCCAGAUGGGAUUAUAUUGUAGGUGGGGUAACGGCUAACAUAGUCGGAGAUGCCUAGCUGGUCUGAGAGGAUGACCAGCUAAACUGGAACUGAGACACGGUCGAGAUGCCGACGGGAGGCAGCAGGGGGGAAUAUGGCACAAGGGGCGCAAGUCUGAUGCAGCCAUGCCGCGUGUGUGAAGAAGGCUUGCUGGUUGUAAAGUACUUUCAGCGGGGAGGCGUUACCCGCAGAAGAAGCACCGGCUAACUCCGUGCCAGCAGCCGCGGUAAUAC